rnacentral:rRNA from 1 species
GACAGAGGAUGCAAGCGUUAUCCGGAUUCAUUGGGUUUAAAGGGAGCGUAGGCGGCCUUAUAAGUCAGUGGUGAAAUCUCCUCGCUUAACGAGGAAAUUGCCAUUGAUACUGUAGGGCUUGAGUACAGUUGCCGUUGGCGGAAUAUGACAUGUAGUGGUGAAAUACAUAGAGAUGUCAUAGAACACCGAUUGCGAAGGCAGCUAACGAAGCUGUAACUGACGCUGAGGCUCGAAAGUGCGGGGAUCAAACAGG